GUGCCAGCAGCCGCGGUAAGACGAACCGUGCGAACGUUGUUCGGAAUCACUGGGCUUAAAGGGCGCGUAGGCGGUUGAUCAAGUCUGGGGUGAAAUCUUUCGGCUUAACCGGAAAAGUGCCUUGGAUACUGGUCAGCUGGAGGGAGGUAGGGGCAGUUGGAACUUCCAGUGGAGCGGUGAAAUGCGUUGAUAUUGGAAGGAACGCCGGUGGCGAAAGCGAGCUGCUGGACCUCUUCUGACGCUGAUGCGCGAAAGCUAGGGGAGCAAACGGGAUUAGAUACCCCGGUAGUCC
rnacentral:rRNA from 1 species